GCCAAAACCGACGCCAACGGAGCCAGACAUCACCAAGAUGUACAAGCCGUCGGUAGAAGUACAUACCUAUGCAACUACCUCUAAUGAUAUGGAACGAAGGUGCUAUCAAGACUCGAUUAAAAAUGUAACAGAAGGCGGCUGUACCUUUGUGAGAGGACCAAGUUCCAACAAAUGCCUUGCAACGUUUCUCAAUAAUAGAGGGAGUGACCAAUUCAACGCAAUGAUAGUCACCUGCACAU